UAGAGAGGCCCCUAGCGGCAGGAUUUGAGCUAGUCUGAGUGACGACACAUAGCUGCCAGAGAAACUUUGCGAGGUCUAACGCUCAAUCCUCUGCACUGGGUUAGGGAACAGUGUCGCAAAGGAAACCCACAGCUUUUCGGGAGUCUGCAGGAGAGAAUUUGCCUCACGUGGAGACAGACAGUACACGUCUUGAGAUUUCUGCUUUGGGAAAAAAGUCAUGAAAGACGGUGUGGAAAGUUACUUUCGCUAGCAAACACUUCUGUUUCCUAGACAAGACAAGACUGACCUAGCACCAGUUAACAGGUAAAGCUCCCAGUUAAAAGAGAGAGUCUG